AUUGAACGCUGGCGGCAUGCCUUACACAUGCAAGUCGAACGGUAACAGGUCUUCGGAUGCUGACGAGUGGCGAACGGGUGAGUAAUACAUCGGAACGUGCCUAGUAGUGGGGGAUAACUACUCGAAAGAGUGGCUAAUACCGCAUGAGAUCUACGGAUGAAAGCAGAGGAUCGCAAGACCUUGUGCUACUACAGCGGCCGAUGGCAGAUUAGGUAGUUGGUGGGAUAAAAGCUUACCAAGCCGACGAUCUGUAGCUGGUCUGAGAGGACGAUCAGCCACACUGGGACUGAGACACGGCCCAGACUCCUACGGGAGGCAGCAGUGGGGAAUUUUGGACAAUGGGCGCAAGCCUGAUCCAGCAAUGCCGCGUGCAGGAUGAAGGCCUUCGGGUUGUAAACUGCUUUUGUACGGAACGAAAAGCCCCGGGUUAAUACCCUGGGGUCAUGACGGUACCGUAAGAAUAAGCACCGGCUAACUACGUGCCAGCCGCCGCAGUAA
rnacentral:rRNA from 1 species